UUCGUAAAACACAUUUUUGCCGAAUGACACUGACCCUAAAAUAUAGACGUAUUUACGUCAAAAACACACCUUUUGUGUCAAAAGAGAAAGUUGUAUUCCCGCAGACGCUGAAAGGCAAAUGCUAGCAGCGACAUUAUCAUAGAUAACUUCCCUGGUUACUGCACCUGAUACGAGAAACACUAGAGAAUGUGAGAAAAAUGAAAAGGCACACAAGGGGAAGGUGGUAAAAGAAAAAAUCGUGGAAGAUGGCGUAGGAGAUGAGGCCGUUUUAUGGGAAGCAGAAGAGUUUGGGAUGUGGUGACUGUGACAUUCGUUUUCACUGCUCCUCUCUUAAAAUUGGUGAAGCUGAGUUAGCUUUUUACAUGGCUUCGGGAAAAUCAUCUUACAAGUGCUCAAAUUGUACCAGUACAGGGAAAUCUACAAGGACAGACGACACAACGGUCCGUAUCGCUGUCUGACUCAACGAAGAUCAUUUCUCCUUAGCCUGUACUACCUUGCCGAGAUAUUAAUAGUACUGAUACACUCAGUGUUCAAGACCACCAUUGAUAUGUUACAGAUUCUUGUAGACAUAGUGGGUAAACUCUCUGAAGAGGUUACUCUACUUAAAUGUGAAAAUUUAGAUAUGAGAAGGCAGAUAAGGGACCUAAAGGUGCCAUCAGAUAGACCUCCUGGGCCCUCUACAUCUGUUAGGUCAUUGCCCCAGCAGCUAAGUCCUACAGUGAAGUGGCUGCCGCCCGUUUGUCUGUUCAACAUUUUGUGUCUGCUAGUGUUAAUGACAUCAGCGCCUUUCCUGUCAAGUCUACGGCCGGGAAGAAUGCUGAUGUUGCUGGUCCUACUACUUCCGGCGAUGGAUUUGUGACAGUCGUCGGCAAAAAGAAGAAGGCAUUGUCCGGGAAAGAAGCCCCCACCAAUGUUACUCAGCCACCGCGUGGAAAUAGGGUCCCUUUGAUUGAGGUUAGAAGUGUUUCCACCCUCCCCAUAAUUGCCAAAAGACCCCGAACUAAAUCACUUUUUGUUUCUCGUUUUUCUGCGGACGUCUCCGAAAAAGAUGUUGAAAAAUCUCUUCUGGAGCAACUUAAUUUAACGUUACUGAUUUGUACCAGGCUUAAGACCAAAUUUAAGUCUUAUGCCUCUUUUUGUGUUUCUGUAAAUGAGGAAGACUUUUCUUAAUUGCUUAA